CAGCGCCGCGGGAAUACGUAGGGUGCAAGCGUUAAUCGGAAUUACUGGGCGUAAAGCGUGCGCAGGCGGUUCUAUAAGACAGAUGUGAAAUCCCCGGGCUCAACCUGGGAACUGCAUUUGUGACUGUAGAGCUGGAGUGCGGCAGAGGGGGAUGGAAUUCCAUGUGUAGCGGUGAAAUGCGUAGAUAUAUGGAGGAACACCAGUGGCGAAAGCACUCUGCUGGGCCGACGUUGACACUGAGAGACAAACGCUAGGGGAGAAAAUGGGAUUAGAUACCCGGGUAGUCCCUGUCUCUUAUACA
rnacentral:rRNA from 1 species